rnacentral:rRNA from 1 species
UCUAGAUUGCGGAUCCGCGGCCGCAGAGUUUGAUCAUGGCUCAGAUUGAACGCUAGCGGGAUGCUUUACACAUGCAAGUCGAACGGCAGCACGAGAGAGCUUGCUCUCUUGGUGGCGAGUGGCGGACGGGUGAGUAAUGUAUCGGAACGUGCCCAGUAGCGGGGGAUAACUACUCGAAAGAGUGGCUAAUACCGCAUACGCCCUACGGGGGAAAGGGGGGGAUUCUUCGGAACCUCUCACUAUUGGAGCGGCCGAUAUCGGAUUAGCUAGUUGGUGGGGUAAAGGCUCACCAAGGCAACGAUCCGUAGCUGGUUUGAGAGGACGACCAGCCACACUGGGACUGAGACACGGCCCAGACUCCUACGGGAGGCAGCAGUGGGGAAUUUUGGACAAUGGGGGAAACCCUGAUCCAGCCAUCCCGCGUGUAUGAUGAAGGCCUUCGGGUUGUAAAGUACUUUUGGCAGAGAAGAAAAGGUAUCUCCUAAUACGAGAUACUGCUGACGGUAUCUGCAGAAUAAGCACCGGCUAACUACGUGCCAGCAGCCGCGGUAAUACGUAGGGUGCAAGCGUUAAUCGGAAUUACUGGGCGUAAAGCGUGUGUAGGCGGUUCGGAAAGAAAGAUGUGAAAUCCCAGGGCUCAACCUUGGAACUGCAUUUUUAACUGCCGAGCUAGAGUAUGUCAGAGGGGGGUAGAAUUCCACGUGUAGCAGUGAAAUGCGUAGAUAUGUGGAGGAAUACCGAUGGCGAAGCAGCCCCCUGGGAUAAUACUGACGCUCAGACACGAAAGCGUGGGGAGCAAA